AGCUUUGCGCAGUGGCAGUAUCGUAGCCAAUGAGGUUUAUCCGAGGCGCGAUUAUUGGUAAUUGAAAAAGAGCAUGAGAGCA
rnacentral:snRNA from 1 species